CCUACGGGAGGCUGCAGUGAGGAAUAUUGGUCAAUGGGCGCAAGCCUGACCCAGCAACGCCGCGUGAAGGAAGAAGGCUUGCGGGUUGUAAACUUCUUUUCUCAGGGACGAAGCAAGUGACGGUACCUGAGGAAUAAGCCACGGCUAACUACGUGCCAGCAGCCGCGGUAAUACGGAGGUGGCAAGCGUUAUCCGGAUUUACUGGGGGUAAAGGGCGUGUAGGCGGGAAAGCAAGUCAGAUGUGAAAACCAUGGGCUCAACCUGUGGCCUGCAUUUGAAACUUUUUUUCUUGAGUACUGGAGAGGCAGACGGAAUUCCUAGUGUAGCGGUGAAAUGCGUAGAUAUUAGGAGGAACACCAGUGGCGAAGGCGGUCUGCUGGACAGCAACUGACGCUGAGGCGCGAAAGCGUGGGGAGCAAACAGGAUUAGAUACCCUUGUAGUC
rnacentral:rRNA from 1 species